rnacentral:lncRNA from 1 species
AAAAAAGAAGUUCUCUCUCUCUCUCUAGACCAUCACCCUCAUGCCGGCUCUCUCUCUCCAUUCUCACCGCUCAUUCCUCCGCCGCCACCUUCAACUGCACCACCCCCACCAACUGCCACGUGCUCAUCGACUUCGUCCCCACAAACACCACCGCUCUCAACACCGUCAAGACCCUCUUCAACAUCACCCAGCCACCUCCGCACCCUCCUCAGAGCCAACAACCUCCCCCUCUCGACCCGACCCGACUCGACUCACCCGUCCCCGCUGUCAGCAAGCUUCUCGUCCCCUUCUCUUGCACCAAGCCUCAGAUCUGGGUCACCACAGACGCCGCUGUCGCCACCUCUCUCUCUACCAAGCCUUCCCUCCGACCUACCACCGUCCCUCGAAAUUUCAAAGGGGUAAGAAAUCAAGGUAAGUUCUUCAAUUUUUCUGGUUUAAUUAGUUUUGAUGAUAGAUUUAUGUGUUUUUGUUUAAUUUGAUUUUGAUUUUAAUUUUGGUUAGGAUGUGAUUGGUAUGAUGGUGGUGGCAUAUAUGGUGGUUAUUUGGUACGAUGGUGGUGGUGGUGGUGGUAUAUCUGGGGCAAAUUGUUGGCAUGAAAUUGAAAGGGAGAUACUUUAUUGAAGUUUACUGACCCCCAGUAGAAGUUUACUGACCCCCAAUAGAAGUUUACUGGGGGGGGGGGGGGGGCGAGUAAACUUCCACUGGGUUUACUAGGGGACAAUAAAUUUGUUUAUUACUGUAAGAAUGAGUAUAUGUUGUGUAUAAUUGGCAUGAAAUUGAAAGGGAGAUACUGUAUUGAAUUUUACUGACUCCCAGUAGAAGUUUACUGGGGGCAGUAAACUUCUACUGGGUUCACUAGGAGCUAAUAAAGUUGUUUAUUAAGGUAAGAAUUGGUAUCUGUUGUGUGUUGUGCCCCUGAAAUUGAAAGGGAUCGGAGUUAUUUUUUGCCAGUUUACUGUGGGGGGGGGGGGUUAGUAAAUUUUUUCCAUAUGCAGUUUAUAAAUGCAAGUUUUUACUACUUAUAUGCAAGAUGAGAAGAAGUUCAAGACAUUUAAUUGUGACUUCUGAAACCUGCGGUGGUGGUGGUAUUUGGGGCGGUCGGAGUGAGUGGAUAAAAACUUGCAGUUGGUCGUUUUUUUUUUUUUUUUUAAAUUUUUUCUUCAGCCUUUAGCAACGGAAUUCAACUAUUCAGUCUCCUAAGUGGAUACUUUUUUUUUAUUAUAAAAUAAAAUCCGUCGCCUAAGUGCUUAGGAGACGAAAGUAUUCAGUCGCNNNNNNNNNNNNNNNNNNNNCUCUCUCUCUCUCUCUCUCUCUCUCUCUCUCUCUAGACCAUCACUCUCAUGCCGACACUCUCUCUCCAUUCUCAUCGCUCCUUCCUUCGCCGCCACCUUCAACUGCACCACCCCCACCAACGCCACCUCCAACUGCCACGCGCUCAUCGACUUCGUCCCCACAAACGCCACCACAUUCAACACAGUCAAGACCCUCUUCAACAUCACCCAGCCACCUCCGCACCCUUCUCGGAGCCAACAACCUCCCCCUCUCGACCCGACCCGACUCGACUCACUGGUCCCUGCCGCUAGCAAGCUCCUCGUCCCCUUCUCUUGCACCAAGCCUCAGAUCUAGGUCACCACAGACGCCGCUGCCGCCACCUUUCUCUCUUCCCGCCGACCCACCACCGUCCCUCGAAAUUUCAAAGGGGUAAGAUAUCAAUGUAAGUUCUUCAAUUUUUUUGGUUUAAUUAGUUUUGAUGACAGAUUUAUGUGUUUUUGUUUAAUUUGAUUAUGAUUUUAAUUUUGGUUAGGAUGUGAUUGGUAUGAUGGUGGUGGCAUAUAUGGUGGUUAUUUGGUACGAUGGUGGUGGUGGUGGUGGUAUAUUUAGGGCAGACUGUUGGCAUGAAAUUGAAAGGGAGAUACUGUAUUGAAGUUUACUGACCCCCAGUAGAAGUUUACCGGGGGCAGUAAACUUCCACUGGGUUUACUAGGAGGCAAUAAAUUUGUUUAUUACUGUAAGAAUGAGUAUCUAUUGUGUAUAAUUGGCAUGAAAUUGAAAGGGAGAUACUGUAUUGAAUUUUACUGACCUCCAGUAGAAGUUUAUUGGGGGGCAGUAAACUUCUACUGGGUUCACUAGGAGCUAAUAAAGUUGUCUAUUAAGAUAAGAAUUGAUAUCUGUUGUGUGUUGUGUCCUUGAAAUUGAAAGGGAGUUAUUUUUUGCAAGUUUACUGAUCCUCAGUAGAAGUUUACUAGGGGGGCAGUAAAUUUUAUUUUUUCCAUAUGCAGUUUAUAAAUGCAAAUUUUUACUACUUAUAUGCAGGAUGAGAAGAAGUUCAAGACAUUUAGUUGUGACUUCUGAAAC